GUUCACUUGGUGGAAUGGUAGACACGACAGACUUAAAAUCUGUUCCUAUAUAGGUUAUCGGUUCAAGUCCGAUAGUGAAUA
rnacentral:tRNA from 1 species